CUACGGGGGGCUCCAGUGAGGAAUAUUGCACAAUGGGGGGAACCCUGAUGCAGCAACGCCGCGUGGAGGAUGACGCAUUUCGGUGUGUAAACUCCUUUUAUAUGUCAAGAAAAUGACGGUAGCAUAUGAAUAAGCACCGGCUAACUCCGUGCCAGCAGCCGCGGUAAUACGGAGGGUGCAAGCGUUACUCGGAAUCACUGGGCGUAAAGGACGCGUAGGCGGGUUGGAAAGUCAGGUGUGAAAGCCUACAGCUUAACUGUAGAACUGCACUUGAAACUUCUAAUCUAGAGUAUGGGAGGGGGAAAUGGAAUUAGUGGUGUAGGGGUAAAAUCCGUAGAUAUCACUAGGAAUACCUAAGGCGAAGGCGAUCUCCUGGAACAUUACUGACGCUAAGGCGUGAAAGCGUGGGGAGCAAACAGGAUUAGAUACCCGCGUAGUC
rnacentral:rRNA from 1 species